rnacentral:rRNA from 1 species
CCCUUAGAUGUCCUGGGCUGCACGCGCGCUAGACUGAUGUGUCCAGUAAGCACCUAACCUAUUCCGAGAGGAGCGGGUAACCUUAGCAAAGCACAUCGUGAUGGGGAUAGAUUAUUGCAAUUAUUAGUCUUGAACGAGGAAUUCCUAGUAAGCACAAGUCAUCAGCUUGUGUUGAUUACGUCCCUGCCCUUUGUACACACCGCCCGUCGCUCCUACCGAUUGAAUGUUCCGGUGAGCUCUUCGGACUGCGCGGUCUGCAGUUUCUGCGUUCCGUGCGGAAAGUUGUGCAAACCUUAACAUUUAGAGGAAGGAGAAGUCGUAACA